AAUACAUCGGAACGUGCCUAGUAGUGGGGGAUAACUACUCGAAAGAGUGGCUAAUACCGCAUGAGAUCUACGGAUGAAAGCAGGGGAUCGCAAGACCUUGUGCUACUAGAGCGGCCGAUGGCAGAUUAGGUAGUUGGUGGGAUAAAAGCUUACCAAGCCGACGAUCUGUAGCUGGUCUGAGAGGACGAUCAGCCACACUGGGACUGAGACACGGCCCAGACUCCUACGGGAGGCAGCAGUGGAGAAUUUUGGACAAUGGGCGCAAGCCUGAUCCAGCAAUGCCGCGUGCAGGAUGAAGGCCUUCGGGUUGUAAACUGCUUUUGUACGGAACGAAAAGCCCUGGGUUAAUACCCUGGGGUCAUGACGGUACCGUAAGAAUAAGCACCGGCUAACUACGUGCCAGCAGCCGCGGUAAUACGUAGGGUGCGAGCGUUAAUCGGAAUUACUGGGCGUAAAGCGUGCGCAGGCGGUUUUGUAAGACAGAGGUGAAAUCCCCGGGCUCAACCUGGGAACUGCCUUUGUGACUGCAAGGCUAGAGUACGGCAGAGGGGGAUGGAAUUCCGCGUGUAGCAGUGAAAUGCGUAGAUAUGCGGAGG
rnacentral:rRNA from 1 species